ensembl:snoRNA Gm22672 predicted gene, 22672
ACUGCCCCUAGAAGCAUUGUGGGUGUGGCUGCUGUGUCAUAUGUGCAUCACUAGGUGGCAGAGAGUGUAGAGAGGCUAUGCCUGUGCUCAGUUCUCUGAUCUAUAAACAUCUGAAUGAUUAGCAGCCUAAUAUU